UACGGAGGGGGCUAGCGUUGUUCGGAAUUACUGGGCGUAAAGCGCACGUAGGCGGCUUGGUAAGUUAGAGGUGAAAGCCUGGAGCUCAACUCCAGAAUUGCCUUUAAGACUGCCGAGCUAGCAGGUGAGAGAGGUGAGUGGAAUUCCGAGUGUAGAGGCGAAAUUCGUAGAUAUUCGGAAGAACACCAGUGGCGAAGGCGGCUCACUGGCUCAUACUGGACGCUGAGGUGCGAAAGCGUGGGGAGCAAACAGG
rnacentral:rRNA from 1 species